AUCCUCAAUCUAGAUUAGAAUGGGCACUGUUGAUUGGUGUCCACAAUUGACCAAUACGGCUAACAGUGAGACACAGGCAUGCUUCUAUCACAGUAAACAUUUACAGUGGUGACAGUAAGACCUGUAACAUUU
ensembl:snoRNA